AUGUUAGAAGGUGCUAAAUCAAUAGGUGCCGAAGCUGCUACAAUUGCUUUAGCCGGAGCUGCUGUCGGUAUUGGAAACGUCCUCAGUUCUUUGAUUCAUUCCGUGGCGCGAAAUCCAUCAUUGGCUAAACAAUCAUUUGGUUAUGCCAUUUUGGGCUUUGCUCUCACCGAAGCUAUUGCAUUGUUUGCCCCAAUGAUGGCCUUUCUGAUCUCAUUCGUUUUCCGAUCGCAUAAAAAGUCAUGA
rnacentral:rRNA from 1 species